CUGUUCUUGUCUUGGUGUUUGAGGACCUGAAUUGUUAGAUGCCUCAAGCCCUGAUCCGAAUUCUUUAGAGGGUUUCUUCUGAAAUAUUUCACCACUGAACUUCAAAAUAGGAGGAGACACAAUAUGGUGGCCAGCAGCUUUAGUCACUUGUUCCCCUAAUCGAGCCUCACUGGAAACUUUGGGGGACUCUUCCACUGUUUCUUUCUUCUUUUGUGCUUUAUCAAGAUUUGUGUACGGAGGGGACAGAUACUUGCUCCUUUUCCUUUCCCUAGAAAAAGAACCCUUCUUAAUUUGUUCUUUAGCCUUACCAUUGUCAUCUGGACCACCAUCCAGCUUCUUUUCUGCAGACACAGUGUUCUCCCUUGUUUCUUCAUUUCUGCCCCCACCAUCAUCAUCUUCAAUAUUGGAACUUCCCUUCUUCUUCCUUCCUCUUGACAAAGGGCUCUUCAUACUUGCUUUCUUCACCCCACUACCAUCAGAUUCAAGACUGCCGACUUUGUUAUUUGCUGCUACAGGAGGUUCAAAAAACACAUCAAUGCUGCUACUACUACUAACAUCAGCUUCACCACUGCCUUUCCUCUUCUUUCCUCUAGAUGAAGGUUUGCCCAAGUUUGAUCUUUCUUUAGCCACAUCUUCCAUCUCAUUUUUUCUCUUAACACCAUCGUCAUCACUUACUUUCCUCUUCUUCCCUCCAGAUGAAGAUGUAGGUUUGUCCAAUCUUACUCCUUUAUUCACAUCCAUUACCUCCUUUUUACCCUCAGUAUUCAUGUCUUCUCCCAUGAACUUCCUCUUCGUUCUCUUGGCUGAAGAUGAAGCUUUGCUCGACUUUGAUCCCCCUCCUGCCAAAAUAUCAUCCUUAUUCUCAGCCUCAGCAUCAGCCUGCCCUUCCAUAAUUUCAGCAAGGCUUUUCUCUGAUAGUGUCCAUCCUCCGAAACCCCUUGGCACGUGUGCAAUGUACUUUGAGUGGUUUGGCCAUGAUUGAGGUGUCUUGGCGUGGAAAGCCAAUCUUCAACUGGACCCUGAAUUCUCCCUUCCACUCCACUAUUGUAUUUACUUGAGUCAACCAUCAAAUUUCUGGUUUCAUCAUCAAGGCCUGGAAUUGGCUUUGGUUCAUGAUAAGAAGGCAACUUGUAGCCUCCUUUUGCACGAUAAAAAGCUGAUAACCAGCUCUUUAAUACUGAGAACUCUAGCAUGUUAGUAACGGUAGCAACCUGUGCGGUACCCUUUAAUGCAGC
rnacentral:misc_RNA from 1 species